rnacentral:rRNA from 1 species
GUAGGUGCAAGCGUUGUCCGGAAUUAUUGGGCGUAAAGCGCGCGCAGGCGGUUCUUUAAGUCUGAUGUGAAAGCCCACGGGCUCAACCGUGGAGGGUCAUUGGAAACUGGAGAACUUGAGUACAGAAGAGGAAAGCGGAAUUCCACGUGUAGCGGUGAAAUGCGUAGAGAUGUGGAGGAACACCAGUGGCGAAGGCGGCUUUCUGGUCUGUAACUGACGCUGAGGCGCGAAAGCGUGGGGAGCAAACAGGAUUAGAUACCCUGGUAGUCCACGCCGUAAACGAUGAGUGCUAAGUGUUAGGGGGUUUCCGCCCCUUAGUGCUGCAGCUAACGCAUUAAGCACUCCGCCUGGGGAGUACGGCCGCAAAGGCUG